UUGGAGGGCAAGUCUGGUGCCAGCAGCCGCGGUAAUUCCAGCUCCAAUAGCGUAUAUUAAAGUUGCUGCAGUUAAAAAGCUCGUAGUUGAAUUUCGGGACCAUCAUGUCGGUCGUGCCUCGGUACGUACUGGUAUUGUUGGUUUCUCCCUUCUGACGAACCAUGAUGUCAUUUAUUUGGUGUUGUGGGGAAUCAGGACUGUUACUUUGAAAAAAUUAGAGUGUUUAAAGCAGGCUCACGCUUGAAUACAUUAGCAUGGAAUAAUGAAAUAGGACGUUUGAUUCUAUUUUGUUGGUUUCUAGGAUCGACGUAAUGAUUAAUAGGGAUAGUUGGGGGCAUUAGUAUCCAAUUGUCAGAGGUGAAAUUCUUGGAUUUAUUGAAGACUAACUACUGCGAAAGCAUUUGCCAAGGAUGUUUUCAUUAAUCAAGAACGAAAGUUAGGGGAUCGAAGACGAUCAGAUACCGUCGUAGUCUUAACCAUAAACUAUGCCGACUAGGGAUCGGAUGAUGUUAAUUUUUUAAUGACUCAUUCGGCGCCUUACGGGAAAC
rnacentral:rRNA from 1 species